rnacentral:rRNA from 1 species
GAGUAACACGUGAGCAACCUGCCCCGGACUCUGGGAUAACAGCUGGAAACAGCUGCUAAUACCGGAUACGAGCUGCGAAGGCAUCUUCAGCAGCUGGAAAGAAUUUCGGUCCGGGAUGGGCUCGCGGCCUAUCAGCUAGUUGGUGAGGUAAUGGCUCACCAAGGCGUCGACGGGUAGCCGGCCUGAGAGGGUGACCGGCCACACUGGGACUGAGACACGGCCCAGACUCCUACGGGAGGCAGCAGUGGGGAAUAUUGCACAAUGGGCGAAAGCCUGAUGCAGCAACGCCGCGUGAGGGAUGACGGCCUUCGGGUUGUAAACCUCUUUUAGCAGGGAAGAAGCGAAAGUGACGGUACCUGCAGAAAAAGCGCCGGCUAACUACGUGCCAGCAGCCGCGGUAAUACGUAGGGCGCAAGCGUUAUCCGGAAUUAUUGGGCGUAAAGAGCUCGUAGGCGGUUUGUCGCGUCUGCUGUGAAAACCCGAGGCUCAACCUCGGGCCUGCAGUGGGUACGGGCAGACUAGAGUGCGGUAGGGGAGAUUGGAAUUCCUGGUGUAGCGGUGGAAUGCGCAGAUAUCAGGAGGAACACCGAUGGCGAAGGCAGAUCUCUGGGCCGUAACUGACGCUGAGGAGCGAAAGGGUGGGGAGCAAACAGGCUUAGAUACCCUGGUAGUCCACCCCGUAAACGUUGGGAACUAGUUGUGGGGUCCAUUCCACGGAUUCCGUGACGCAGCUAACGCAUUAAGUUCCCCGCCUGGGGAGUACGGCCGCAAGGCUAAAACUCAAAGGAAUUGACGGGGACCCGCACAAGCGGCGGAGCAUGCGGAUUAAUUCGAUGCAACGCGAAGAACCUUACCAAGGCUUGACAUAUACGAGAACGGGCCAGAAAUGGUCAACUCUUUGGACACUCGUAAACAGGUGGUGCAUGGUUGUCGUCAGCUCGUGUCGUGAGAUGUUGGGUUAAGUCCCGCAACGAGCGCAACCCUCGUUCUAUGUUGCCAGCACGUAAUGGUGGGAACUCAUGGGAUACUGCCGGGGUCAACUCGGAGGAAGGUGGGGAUGACGUCAAAUCAUCAUGCCCCUUAUGUCUUGGGCUUCACGCAUGCUACAAUGGCCGGUACAAAGGGCUGCAAUACCGCAAGGUGGAGCGAAUCCCAAAAAGCCGGUCCCAGUUCGGAUUGAGGUCUGCAACUCGACCU